rfam:Brassica napus, WGS project CCCW01000000 data, contig: 8523
GAAAUAUAAGAACCAGUCUCUUAAUUUUUAACUAAAAAAGUUAAGAACCGUCUCAUAAAAUUCUUAUUUAAGAGCCGGUUCUUAGCUUUUUUUUUAGUUAAAAGUUAAGAGUCAUGUUUUUAUAUUCC